AUUUUAUUCUGCUUCUGCAGCUUUCCUGUAGAAUUCAGAAAUAAUUUUUAAUAUACCCAGGUUGCUAUAAGGAUAUCUGAUCUGAGACUAAUAACAGGUCAUUGCUGAAUGAAUAGCAAAUGGCAUAAGGAGAGAAGGUAAGGAAAUAA